AACGCACGAGACCUGCGGACCUGCGGAGGGAUCAUUAAUGAGAAGCUGCCCCUCGUGGGUAGACCUCCCACCCUCUGUGAACUUACCUUCGUUGCUUUGGCAGGCCCGUCCUCUGGACCGCCGGCUUCGGCUGGCCCGUGCCUGCCAGAGGAUUCCAAACCCUGUCUGUCAGUGUUGUCUGAGUCUAUAUGAAAUCGUUAAAACUUUCAGCAAUGGAUCUCUAGAUCGGAAGAGCACACG
rnacentral:misc_RNA from 1 species